UGGAGCCUACGGGACGCAGCAGUGGGGGAUAUUUCACAAUGGGGGAAACCCUGAUGCAGCGACGCCGCGUGAGUGAAGAAGGAUUUCGGUAUGUAAAGCUCUAUCAGCAGGGAAGAAAAAAGACGGUACCUGACUAAGAAGCCCCGGCUAACUACGUGCCAGCAGCCGCGGGAAUACGUAGGGGGCAAGCGUUAUCCGGAUUUACUGGGGGUAAAGGGAGCGUAGAAGGCAAUACAAG
rnacentral:rRNA from 1 species